UACCAGAAACUGGAAUAGCAUACAUGCAGCCUCCUGUUUUUGCCCAGUAUACAAGAAUGUUGAUGAGAUAUUUUAGUUUAAACGGAGAUUAGUUCUUCUGCUGGAGCUGAAGAUACUUGUCUGCACAGAGAUCGGUUUGGCUCAAAACUCCGCUCAAAAACCAAAACGUAGCAGUGUUGAUGUAGUUAUAUUCAGGCCUUAUGAAGUUCUAAUCACUUUUUCAACUAAAGAGUCAGUGGUAUUUAUCCACAGCCCGGUCACUCUUUAAAGUACAUUACAGGAGAUUGCUAACUGCCUCUUUAAUUAUUGUUGGAAAGGGACUUCUUAUGUGUGCUCAGAAGGUCAUUUUUACAGUAUGUGAACCCAAUAAAAAGACAGCAUCAGUGCAUCUCUACUCUGUAUGUCACAUGAUAGAAUUACGCAUUCACGUGCUCCUCGGAUGGUCCGAUUUUUCCAAGAUCGGAAGUCAUUCUUCUGACUUCAUUGUGUUCAUGUGCACUCAAGGUGGAAAGUCGGAAUGUUAAAUUGUAACCAGGAAAAAGUAAGUCAUUUAUUGGCAUUUAUCAAGUCAGGUUUAACGUUACCUAACUCCGUAAUCAAGGUGGAAUGCUAAUAAAUGCAAAAAUAUUGAAUUAGUAACAGAAUGGUUUUAUUUUCAAACAACAUACUUAAAAUACAAGAUACAAAGUAUUUUACUUAAAGACACAGCAAGAAUAAGCAAUCUUCCCUCUAAAAGUGUUCUUAUAUAUAAUUUUUCAAUAAACAACCAAACAACCACCAUCAUUUUCUAAAUUAAAUAAUUUGUUCUUGUACCAUCCUUAAGCUACUGUCCAUCCAUUUUAUUUAUCAAGAACAAUUAACUUCUAAAUAGGUCCGAACAAAACUGAAACAAGUUCAUACAAAAUGAUACACUACCCAUUAAUAAUUUGAACUUCUCUUCUCAACAUCUAAAGCUCAUAUUGCUUUGUUAUUAAUGGUUAAAUAAUGUUAUAACUUUAAUAAAUUAGUCUAGUCAGUCUUUAUGGACAACAAAUGGUGUUAAAACCAUAUUAAAAACAAAAUUUGAACAAAAGUUGAUGUCAAAUAUGUGAAUUAAUAUUUAAAACUAAAUGUUUUUACCGUUAAUAAAAAAAUCUAGUUUUUCCAGCCAUGUUGAUGACACAUUCUAAACUCAUAUUUCACCACAUGAACGCAGCAUAAUACAAUCAUGUAACUGCAGUACAUGGCCUAUUUAGGCUCCAGCCACGAAAGUUUUCCCAACAUUAUUUAGGGUUGUAAAAUAACUUCAUUUGUCAUUUCCCCCUGGACCAGCUAAUCAAUGCAAUAGAAGAUCUAUUAGUGGGGGAAUAUUGCCAUUCAUUGUGUGAACUCUACUCCAAAUGGGUUCAAAGAUUAGUAAUGCUCUUUAUGCCAAAUUCUUACCCUACCAAUGUUAUGUAGCCUAACUUAAAAAUAGUAACAUGAGACAAUAUUUGCCUCUCUUCAGAUGUACAGAUUUUGUGUCAUUCUAUCAUCUCAAAUGGCAUGAAAGAUAGUGGAUAUAGCUGCCAUAAAUAAAUGAAAAAAUCUCCUUGAACCAAGCCCCCUGGACGCCACUUGGUUUAGUCCCGAAUGUUUCCAACAUCUGGCUGUGCCCCUGGAUAAAACAGUGGGUUGGAGAGGCUUGUGUUCUUCUCAGUUAUUCAUAAUCACAAAUAGUGUAGAUAGCCAUCAAUCGGUAUUUAAACUGGCCCGUCCAUCCGUAUUUUAUCACUUAUAAUCACCUGCCACUGUGUAAAAAAUCAUUUGAAAAGACCUCCAUGGUAUAUACUAUCCUACCAUCUAUGAUAUAUGUUGGAUAUUGCAAUGUACUGAUCGCUCUAGUUAUAGCUUGACAUUUUUUUUUUUUUUACAAGGAUAGUUAUGGGAGGGGCUUAUGGAACAUAAGUAAUUGUCAGACAUUAUUCAUCCCCAUAUACAGUAUGUUACUCUUUUAUGUAACCAGAAAAAGACGAAUGGAAAUACAUAGAUACAUGUAUGAAGUGUUGUGCACAACUGGGUUACACAUUGUAACUCAAAAUUAUCUAUAUCUGUAUAUUUGACAUUUGUUGUAGAAUAUAGGACCACUAUUCUACUCGGACUGCUCUAGGUAACAGCUCAUCUUUUUAUGGAGAAGUGACACAUCUGUUCUUCUGUGUAUCUGUGAAAUAGAUCACUGUAUAUUUCAAAGCUUUAUAAAGUGGCAUGCUCUGCUGUUGUACUCCAGAUCAUUGUUAUAUGAAAGUGUCCAUUGGUUCUUAGUUUCAAAUCAGAUUUGUUGGUAUGCGAUAGACCAGGAG